AGUAAUCAGUACGUAAUAUCCAGCCACAGGUAAGCUUUCUUUACAACCCUCUUGGCCACUGUUUCUGGCUUAACCUAAGAACAGCAGAGUGCUUCAGGCCCCUUGACUACUCUGACGCUCCUCCCACUGUUCCUAUAGCUGGGGAAGAUGUAAUCUUUCCAAGGAUUUUUUUCAGUUUUCAGGUCACACAGAUAGGACAUAAGGUGUCCCCUUGAUCAUUGUCCACAGCCCCGUUUGGCUCCAGAAAAUAUGUGCCAGGGCAUCCUGAAGAGGACCACAGUAGCCAGCCUGGGCAAGACUGCCUUUCACCGCAUGCACUCCCAUCGUUCUGGCUCCACAGGCAUCCUUUAUGGCCAUAGCAUCGUCCCUCUUCACAUUAUCAGUAAAGGCUAUGUCACUGCAGAAGAUACUGAGGAGUGUACUGUGUAGUUUUCCAGAGGCUAAAUGACAUGUGACACCGAAGCCAACUAAAUAUCAAAGAAGAUAUGAGUAUCCACCUGCAAAAUUGGAUAGAAUCCAAUUUCAUCUAUUAAGAUACCAAAAUAAUUUCCCUUUCUCACCUUGAAAUGACCUGAGCUAACAGAAGAAAUUUUCCUGCAUUGCUUAUGAGGAUCAUACAUAAAUCAAAAUGACCUGUUUGGAGGUUGCUGACAGUUCAGGCAUGGUGUCGGUGAUUAUGUGGAAUGCCCCAUGUCCUGAGUGGUUUAAAAUUUUGCGAGUUGGUUUAGUUUUUCUGCUUCAGGAUUAUUCUGUUAAAAAGAAUUAUCCAUUUAGAAUACAGCCUGUCCCCAUGGAUCCACAGAUCAAACUAAUUUCUACAAUGAGUUAAGUAUUCAAUAAAUUUGUUGUCUUAUGGCUAUUUUAUUUAUAUAAAUUUGCAAUAUACCAUAUUAGAAAUAAGACCAUAAAAAUUACUGAAACUGU